ACAGGUGUCUGCUCAUAGAGUUCGUUGGCUCAUGCUAUAGGCAGCGCAGGCAGCAGGCAACUGCAUCGAUAUGGCGAUAUGGCGAUGAUGCUAGCCAGCGGUAAGACGGCUGAAAAAGAUGUGCAUCCUUCACGCCCAGCCUAGCCUAUAGCCUGCAACUUAACCGAGGGUGUGAGUGUUUCGAUACCUAGCUUCUCGGCGGCAUAGUUGUCAAGCGCUUGAUCAUCACUGUCUAUAUUCUACCAGAAAAUCUCUCAGGGUGCGCCGAAUUGUUAUCGUUUUCCAGAAAAGAAGGCAAAACACUUGUGAAAUUACUGUGGAUUCGAAUCAAAGGUGACGGAAAUAGAAAUUUGAGGCCAAGUUCAGCUUGCAUCACACAUCUCUGUUACCAGGGAAUUCCUGCCUCAAAGGCCAUCGACCUUUGACCUUUGAACCCUGUGACCUUGACCCCAUUUAGAACCUUUCCUACCCCUCCUCCAUUCCUUCAACGCCUUCAAGCUUGAUUGUGAUCCAGAUCGCUUAGCCAAAAUGGAACAGGUAUUUUACCUUUCAGUUCCACGUUUUGAACCUCAUACCUGCAUAUCCAUGGAUGCAUAUAUAUAACCACCACUAACUAACCUCACAGCCUGCUCAUAUCACAGCUAGUGUUAACAUGCUUCUGAAUGUAUCAACAGUUACACUGUAUAUGCAUAUAAUUUUUGUAUGAGUGAAUGACUAAUAUUUAAUUUGGCUUUGCCGAUCUACCUUUGCACCUUGUUCUAUUGAUUCAAGAUUAACUUUUGUUCAGGUCGCUCUGUUGUUUCUACCAAAUGAGCCCCAUUUUAUAUUUCAGAUAGAUGACAUUCAGAAAGUGGACAUAUUUGUUUGAUUGUGGAGCAAGUAUACAAAAAAGUUCAAUAACUUUUAUAUUUUUGUGCAUGCAGGCCGGUAUGAGGUUGUGUCAAUAAUAACGCCUGAUAUCAAACUUGGACAGCUACAUGAAUGAAGUAUAAAUCUUUAUUCUUUUUUUGGUUACCAUUCCAUUGUUAACCAGACAUUCGAGCAGGGAUGCUUAACUUUUUGUUGGGCCAAUAACCAA